GAAAACCUUUCUCAAGUGUUAUGGGAUUUGUUCAUGGCAGUGGGUGUGAUGAGAUUUAAGAGGAUCACAGUUUGCCAGAUUUUCUUUUUGUCCAAAUGAUAAAUUUCUAUUCGCAUGGUUUAACUGUUCAUCUCAUCUUCAAGGCUUUUCUUUUGUUGCUUUUUGUCUCUCAGUAAUCUUCAUGACUUCAUCUCUAUAUGCCAUGCUAGAAUGAUUGAAUGGGUUAGGUUAAUAUGAUUGAUAGUUGACUCUCUUUCUCUUCCUCUAUAUCUGGGAAUGUGCUUAAUUUGAGAGAGAGAGAGAGAGUAUUUUGCUUCUGAGAUUAGAGUCCUCUUUUUUAUCUUUUUCCAAUUUUCUUCUUCUGGUUUUUCCUUUGUGACCAGAGCUCAGUUCGGCCCAAGUCAUGGUUUCUUUGCAACAGUCCAUAUAAUAUUUCAUGUGACUUUGGCAAGGACGCAUUUGUUGGUGGUUUUGCUGGAUUUUAUUUGAGGCUUAUUCAAGAUUUACAUUGUUAUUAUCAAUUCAUUUUUCCAAUUGUCCUGCUUUUCUUCUCUGGUGAUGUGCAACUGUCAAUCUAUCAUGCCAAGCAAUGAAGCAGAACAACAUAUCAUUGCUGCGACUCAGCAUAUUCUGAAGGCAUUAGGGGCAAGUAAGAAUCUGAGUGAUGAAUUUAAAAGAGUACUUACUGAGCUUGACUCCCAUUUGUCCACAAUGACAAUAAUAACUGAAACCGAGGGAGGGAGAUUUUCUGAGAUAGAGGAACAACUCAAACAUGCUGAGAGAAAGAUUAUUCGUUGGGAGUCAGAUCCAUGUCUGAUAUGGGAUUCUGGCCCCAUGGAAGCCACUGAGUAUUUACAAGCUGUCAACGAGAUUCUAAUAGUGAUAGAAAGUCUGGGUGGUCUGUCCUUGAGCGAGAAUGGGAAGCCAAAGGAGAUUGCUUUACGAGCUCAGAAUGCACUGCAGAGAGCAAUGUCAAGACUUGAGGAAGAGCUGUGCCACAUUCUUUUUCAACAUAAGCAAUAUUUUAAGCCGCAAUAUGUUUUGCUUCAUUCACGUGCAGAAGGUGUGUUUUAUGACGAGUCAUUUGCUUCUGUGGAAGAUGAAAUAGUUGAUGAAACAUCCCAGAGAGAUGGGGAAGACAGAGAAUCUGCUGAAUGUUAUCUAGAUUUGGUUGAUCCAUGUGUAAUUCCCAAUAUAAAGUCCAUUGCAAAUGUUAUGUCUGCUUCUAACUACAUUCAAGAAUUUUGUGAGGCUUUCAUUGAUAUCCAGAGAGAAGCAUUAUAUGAAUACUUGUCCGUUCUUGAAAUGGAGAAACUCAGUAUUGAGGACGUUCUGAAGCUGGAAUGGGAUUGCUUGAGCAGGAAGAUCAAGAAAUGGAUUUGGAUUAUGAAAGUUAUGAUUAGCGUGUAUCUUGCUAGUGAGAAACGACUUUGUGACCAGAUAUUGGGGGAUUUUGGUUCUUUCAAUUCGUUUUGCUUCAUUGAAAUCUCAAAGGAUUCGGUUUUGUGCCUUUUGAAUUUUGGCCAAGCCAUAACAACCGGACCUCAGAAGCCUGAGAAGUUAUUCCGCCUGCUUGACAUGUAUGAGAUUAUGGCAGAUCUUCACCUAGAGAUGGACAGUUUGUUCUCAGAAGAUAAUGGUUCUUUUAUUAGAAUAGAGUACCACAAACUUUUAAGUGGAUUGGGUGCUUCUGCAAGGGAGACCUUUAUGAGAUUUGGGAAUGCCAUUGCAUCUGAUUCAUCUAUACGCCCUUUCCCUGGAGGUGGAAUCCAUCCCCUCGUGAAGUAUGUGAUGAAUUACAUGAGGCUCCUCCCAGAUUAUUGUGAUACUUUCAAUUUGCUUCUUAAGGACCAAGAUAUAGAUGAAUCAAAUGCUGUUGUUGAGAUUGAUAAUGGGCAGGACUUCUCUUCUUCCACUUCUUGCCCAAUGGCGUACCACCUUCGGUCAAUUGCUUCCUCUCUAGAAUCCAAUCUCAUCGAUAAAUCCAAAUUAUACAAGGAUGAUUCUCUGCAGUAUAUUUUCUUGAUGAACAACAUCCAUUACAUGGUCAAAAAGGUCAAAGACUCUGACCUCAGGCUUUUCUUUGGAGAUGAGUGGAUCCGAAAACAUAUUGGGAAGUUUCAACAACAUGCUACAAGCUAUGUGAGAGCCACUUGGAGUUCAGUUGUUUCUAUGCUUAGAGAUGAUGGAAAGACAAAUCUUAAAGAAAGGUACAGGAGAUUCAGUAUUGCUUUCGAGGAGGUAUACAAAAACCAGACACGCUGGUGCAUUCCAGAUCUUCAGCUCCGGGAAGAUCUGCAAAUUUCAACUUCACAGAAAGUAAUCCCUGCUUAUCGAAAUUUUGUUGGGAUUAACAACAGCAAUGUUAGUGACAAGCAUGUUAAGUACACUACAGAUGAUUUGGAGGAACUGCUCUUGGAUCUUUUUGUUGGAUCACCAAGAUCACUGCAUAAUUCGCGCGGGAGGUGAAGUCUCAAUAGUCUUGAUUUUUCACCCAUUUUUUUCCUUGUUGCCUUGUUUCACAAAUUGUGUAAUUAUUAUCAAAAUAUAUGUUGAAUUAUCCUUAGCCUGUUGUCAAAAUUAGCCUGUCGUCAAAAUUUCUGAAGUCAAAUUUGAUUGUAGUCUUGUAUCAUGUACAACUUGCUUAUAUUCUUUGUAAUACAUAAAAUUGGGAGGAUGGAUGCAAUUACUUCUCUCUCUCAAAUGAAUGCAUGUGUGCGUGUGUAUAUGUAUGAAUUUGUACGCAUUUUUAU
rnacentral:misc_RNA from 1 species